GCGUUUUUUGUGUACAACAAUGAUACGUUUUUAAUAAAAAUUAAGAUUGCGAUGUCGUACAAAUGUUGUACUUUUGGCUGAGGAAAACAUGCGUCUUUGCAAGGUUUCUUGACGUCAAAUUUCCUGUCAUAUUAACGCUGCUUGUGUGACAGUUAUGUGUUUUGGACCAAACAAGAAUCGCUCAAACUGUUUGGUGGUGAUGGGAAUGUUUCUGUAGCUCAACAGGUCAAUAUCAUGGAUUUGAUUCCCAAGGAAAGCACACGCUGAUGCACUAUUGAAGUCUGGAGACUGUCAGUAAUCUCUGCGCUGAGGUGUUACUGUGAUCACAUUCAGAUGAGUCUCACACAUUCUCCUCACGCUUUAUUUCCAGACCUGUCAUUGACUGUAAGCUAUUUUUUUAUGCUUUAUGCUUCUUAUUUAUUUUAUUUUAUUUAUUUGAAUGGUUCAUUUAAUGCUUAACAAUUUAAACAAUUUACUGCUUGCAAUUGCGUGAGUGUUGUCUAAGAAACCUAUGGUUUGCUUAAGGAUUCAGUGUUAGUGUAAUUAGCCCAGGGCUUCAACUAUUACUUACCCACCAGAGCACAUUCUCAGGGGAUUAUUAAACAGUUGCCACUAUAAAAACAUCUCACAGUCUUAAAUAGGUUAAAAAUCAAUA